AUCACUUCUCGGCCUUUUGGCUAAGAUCAAGUGUAGUAUCUGUUCUUAUCAGUUUAAAAAAAUUAGCAAAAAUAACAGGAAACACUCCGGCAUUGGAAGCAGUGCAAAACUAAAUCAUUUCUUAAUGAGUUAUUGGGUUUCUAAUUAAUGUAAAACUUAAUAGGCAACAUUUCUUCCUUGAGUCAAUACAUAUGAUGA